rnacentral:rRNA from 2 species
UGAGGAAUAUUGCGCAAUGGCCGAAAGGCUGACGCAGCGACGCCGCGUGAGGGAUGAAGUCCGUUAGGAUGUAAACCUCUUUUGCAGGGGAUGAAUGUCCCGUUUGACGGGAUUGACAGUACCCUGCGAAUAAGGAUCGGCUAACUACGUGCCAGCAGCCGCGGUAAUACGUAGGAUCCGAGCGUUGUCCGGAAUUACUGGGUGUAAAGGGCGUGUAGGUGGGUUCCUAAGUCGAUGGUGAAAUCCUGCAGCUUAACUGCAGAACUGCCUUCGAUACUGGGGAUCUUGAGUGCGGCAGAGGGAGAUGGAAUUCAUGGUGUAGCGGUGAAAUGUGUAGAUAUCAUGAAGAACACCGGUAGCGAAGGCGGUCUCCUGGUCCGCAACUGACACUGAGGCGCGAAAGCGUGGGGAGCAAACAGG